rnacentral:rRNA from 1 species
UACGUAGGGGGCAAGCGUUGUCCGGAAUCAUUGGGCGUAAAGCGCGUGUAGGCGGUCCGGUAAGUCCGCUGUGAAAGUCGGGGGCUCAACCCUCGGAUGCCGGUGGACGUACUGUCGGGCUUGAGUACGGAAGAGGCGAGUGGAAUUCCGUGGGUGUAGCGGUGAAAUGCGCAGAGUAUCCGGGAAGGAACACCAAUUGCGCAAGGCAGCUCGCCUGGGACGUUAC